AUUGAACGCUGGCGGCAGGCCUAACACAUGCAAGUCGAACGGUAACAGGAAGAAGCUUGCUUCUUUGCUGACGAGUGGCGGACGGGUGAGUAAUGUCUGGGAAACUGCCUGAUGGAGGGGGAUAACCACUGGAAACGGUAGCUAAUACCGCAUAACGUCGCAAGACCAAAGAGGGGGACCUUCGGGCCUCUUGCCAUCGGAUGUGCCCAGAUGGGAUUAGCUAGUAGGUGGGGUAACGGCUCACCUAGGCGACGAUCCCUAGCUGGUCUGAGAGGAUGACCAGCCACACUGGAACUGAGACACGGUCCAGACUCCUACGGGAGGCAGCAGUGGGGAAUAUUGCACAAUGGGCGCAAGCCUGAUGCAGCCAUGCCGCGUGUAUGAAGAAGGCCUUCGGGUUGUAAAGUACUUUCAGCGGGGAGGAAGGGAGUAAAGUUAAUACCUUUGCUCAUUGACGUUACCCGCAGAAGAAGCACCGGCUAACUCCGUG
rnacentral:rRNA from 1 species